CAUCGCGGGUGGCAGCGUGGGGCGGUCACUGUCAUUUUAUUUUGCUUUUGUCUGCCUUUAAAGCGACCCCUCCCCCAUGACCCUUCAACCCGCUACACUCGUUUACCCUUUUGCUUCUAAAAGGAGCGCACUCAGUUAUGCGAGAAGCUGAACUGAAAUGAAGCGGGAUGGAGGAAUGUUUCCUGGGGACAACGUUGGGGAAGGUGGUCAGAAGAUCGCGCAGCUCUCUUGAACGCUCAGCUUCAACCUCUGCAGGUAGAGACAAGACGACUGGCGCGGCUUUUGGCAGCGUGACCUGGGGUUGCAGGUACACAAGCCAAUUAAGACUGCCUGAGGAAGGGAAAGGCUACCAGAACUUACCACUUGAUGUGGCUGAGGUCAGAAUAGAGGACUCUGGUCGACUUUUCCUAGGCAACAUUCUAAACAGGAUUUAAAAGUCGGGCUUUGGCAAGAAGAUAGGCACACGUUCAAGACCAUCGUGGACUAUGAUAGCCAGGACCCGUCUCAGAAACAUCAAUGAUUAACUCGUCAGUUGAAAGCCGCUCAACAGCCUGCUUUUAUAUCAUGGUCUUCUGCCCGAGCAAAGAAGCUCCUGCUGCCUUCAGAGGAUGUCAUCAAACGCUGACCCAACUGUUUGCAAAGGGAUUCUUAUCCAUUCACCGCACUGUUUGUGUUGUGGGGGAUGUUGGUUGGUAUUCCUGUCAGAGGGGUCUGCUGACACAGAGGCGCCUGCUGUCUGCCUCAGGAGGGAUCUCAGGGUCAGCCAGGGUCAUGGCAUUUCACCAGAAGGAGCUGGCGUGGCCCACCUUGUGUUGUGCAUGGGGCCUUGAAAGAAGCUGGCUGAAAAUGGCCCUCCACACUUUGGGUCUGCCUUCUCAGCAUCCACUGUGUAUCCGCCCAUCUCCAGGGACCAAUAGACUGCAAGCCCACACGUGAAAAACAAGCAGCUGGCCCCGGGGGAACUGCUGGCAGAGAGAGGCCACUGGACAGAGAACAGCAGGCCUGCCUCUUGAUUGAGGACUGGAACUGAGCCCAGCCCUGCGGCUCCCUCUACUGGAGACAGGAGGAAAAGCAGGAGGGGAAAAAAGGACACAGGAGAUAAACAAGGGCAGGACAGAGCCACACCGCGCGGAGGAAUGUGGACUUUAUCCAGCGGAUAUGAAAACACAAGUAACGUUAUUACUUGCUAGUAGACAAAGCAAAGCUGGAGAGUGUGGAGGGAGGGGAAGCUCACUUCCACAUACAAACACGAUCUGAGCUCUGAAUCAAAACAUUAUUGCUUCAAAUAUUUAGAAAUAAAAAAUAUUUUAAAAUA